GUGUAUGACCAUACCACCCUGAACACGCCUGAUCUCGUCAGAUCUCGGAAGCUAAGCAGGGUCGGACCUGGUUAGUACUUGGAUGGAAGAAUACCUAAAGGUUAAUUAUU
rnacentral:rRNA from 1 species